ACAAAGAAGAGUUUGAUCCUGGCUCAGGAUGAACGCUAGCGGCAGGCUUAACACAUGCAAGUCGAGGGGCAGCGCGGGGUAGCAAUACUCUGGCGGCGACCGGCGGAAGGGUGCGUAACGCGUGAGCAACUUGCCCGUCACUGGGGGAUAGGCACUGGAAACGGUGUGUAAUACCCCAUAACAUAUGGAUUCACAUGGAUUUAUAUUGAAAGAUUCGUUGGUGACGGAUGGGCUCGCGUAACAUUAGCUAGUCGGCGGGGUAACGGCCCACCGAGGCUACGAUGUUUAGGGGUUCUGAGAGGAAGGUCCCCCACACUGGAACUGAGACACGGUCCAGACUCCUACGGGAGGCAGCAGUGAGGAAUAUUGGUCAAUGGGCGGAAGCCUGAACCAGCCAUGCCGCGUGCAGGAAUAAGGCCCUAUGGGUCGUAAACUGCUUUUCCUUGAGGGCAAUAAGGGUCACGUGUGGCCCGAUGAGAGUAUCAGGGGAAUAAGCAUCGGCUAACUCCGUGCCAGCAGCCGCGGUAAUACGGAGGAUGCGAGCGUUAUCCGGAUUUAUUGGGUUUAAAGGGUGCGUAGGCGGAUUAUUAAGUCAGUGGUGAAAUACCCGUGCUCAACAUGGGCCGUGCCAUUGAUACUGGUAGUCUAGAGUUCCGUUGCCGUGGGAGGAAUGAGUAGUGUAGCGGUGAAAUGCAUAGAUAUUACUCAGAACACCGAUUGUGAAGACAUCUCACGAAGCGGCGACUGACGCUGAGGCACGAAAGCGUGGGGAUCGAACAGGAUUAGAUACCCUGGUAGUCCACGCAGUAAACGAUGAUGACUAACCGUUGGAAAGUAAUUUUCAGUGGCCAAGUGAAAGCGAUAAGUCAUCCACCUGGGGAGUACGACCGCAAGGUUGAAACUCAAAGGAAUUGACGGGGGCCCGCACAAGCGGAGGAACAUGUGGUUUAAUUCGAUGAUACGCGAGGAACCUUACCCGGGCUCGAACGGCAAG
rnacentral:rRNA from 1 species